GGGCUUGGGGGCUUGCUCCCAGGUUAGUGGCGAACGGGUGAGUAAUAUAUCGGAACAUAUCCGGAAGUGGGGGAUAACGUAGCGAAAGUUACGCUAAUACCGCAUAUGCCCUGAGGGGGAAAGGGGGGGAUCGCAAGACCUCUCGCUUUCGGAGUGGCCGAUACCGGAUUAGCUAGAUGGUGAGGUAAAGGCUCACCAUGGCGACGAUCCGUAGCGGGUCUGAGAGGACGACCCGCCACACUGGAACUGAGACACGGUCCAGACUCCUACGGGAGGCAGCAGUGGGGAAUUUUGGACAAUGGGCGCAAGCCUGAUCCAGCCAUACCGCGUGAGUGAAGAAGGCCUUCGGGUUGUAAAGCUCUUUCAGCCGGAAAGAAAUUGCUUCUAUUAAUACUAGGAGUAGAUGACGGUACCGGAAGAAGAAGCACCGGCUAACUACGUGCCAGCAGCCGCGGUGAUACGUAGGGUGCGAGCGUUAAUCGGAAUUACUGGGCGUAAAGCGUGCGCAGGCGGUUUGGUAAGACAGAUGUGAAAUCCCCGGGCUUAACCUGGGAACUGCAUUUGUGACUGCCAGACUAGAGUGUAGCAGAGGGGGGUAGAAUUCCACGUGUAGCGGUGAAAUGCGUAGAGAUGUGGAGGAAUACCGAUGGCGAAGGCAGCCCCCUGGGCUAACACUGACGCUCAUGCACGAAAGCGUGGGGAGCAAACAGGAUUAGAUACCCUGGUAGUCCACGCCCUAAACGAUGUCAACUAGGUGUUGGGGAAGGAGACUUCUUUAGUACCGCAGCUAACGCGU
rnacentral:rRNA from 1 species